AUUGAACGCUGGCGGCAUGCCUAACACAUGCAAGUCGGACGAGUGGCGGACGGGUGAGUAACGUCUCGGAAAGUACCUAGUAGAGGGGGAUAACUAAUGGAAACAUUAGCUAAUACCGCAUAUCAUCAGAUCGGCCCAUAUCGGAUUAGCUGGUUGGUGGGGUAAAGGCCUACCAAGGCGACGAUCCGUAGCGGGUCUGAGAGGAUGAACCGCCACACUGGAACUGAGACACGGGCCAGACUCCUACGGGAGGCAGCAGUGGGGAAUAUUGCACAAUGGGCGCAAGCCUGAUGCAGCCAUGCCGCGUGUCUGAAGAAGGCCUUCGGGUUGUAAAGGACUUGUGUCAGGGAGGCGUUACCAGCAGAAUAAGCACCGGCUAACUCCGUGCCAGCAGCCGCGGUAAUUC
rnacentral:rRNA from 1 species